GGAGGAGAAGGGGACGCUAGAGGAUGAGAUGGUUGGAUGGCAUCAUUGACUCAAUGGACAUGAGUUUGAGCAAGCUCCGGGAGAUGGUGAAGGACAGGGGAAGCCUAGUGUGCUGCAUGCAGUUCAUGGGGUCACAAAGAGUCGGAUACAACUGAGCGACUGAACAACAAAUGAUCAUUCCCCUCAUUGAAGUAAGAAGCCACCUUUAUGGUCAGCUCAUUCAAGAUGGUUGUUCUCUUGCUCUCUGUACAUCCCCUGUUGGACCAGUACCUGCUCCAUCUUUAUUUUACACACAUGACUGACCUUCCUAUGUACUUGCCUUAGGCCCCAGCUGGUGAUUGUUCUCAUCAAAGGGGUGGUGAGGGGCCAUGCCCCUCUGCUGGUUUCCCUGGUAACUAAUGAGCCCAGCUAAAAUCAAUUCCCCCAGACCCGGUAAUCUCCUUUUUACCCAGGAGUGAAGCCUGCCGCCAUAUUCUGCCCACAGACUGCUUUAUACCUCGGGGUGCACUCCAGGACCUUACUUCACUGGUAUGGAGAAGACAGUGUGCCUGUCUUCUCCAGACAGCAAAGGAACAAGACUAUUUUUGAAUCAUUCACUGCUAUGAAAGUAGUUCAGCAGAAGGACUGGUUGCUUUUAGGAUCCCCGUGUCCAGCACACCCCUCUUAUUUUUACAUGAACAUCUGCAUCUCUCCAGACUUGAGGAUGACUGUUCUGUGACUUUAGUUCUCCAAUGGCUUCACAAAAAGUCAUUAAUUUGCUGUCUGUCCAGCUUACUUCUUGUUGCAGAUAUGAAUGCUGCAGCUCUGAGAUCACAAGAAAAUGAGAGGCUUAUUCUCUGAGAGGAAGAUUUUAACUUAGCUGAGUGACUGCAAGAUACUCUCAGAAAUCCAGCCUUUUGUUGAAAACAGUUUGAAAAUCACUGGCCUAGAGAAGGGCUUCCGGUGGCUGCAGACAUUCCUCAGCUUGUGGCUACGUCACUCCAGUCUUCAAGGAAGACUCCAAAAUUCAUUCUACAUAAACAAGGAAGAAACUGAACAAAGCACAUCACAGCUCAAAUGGUAUACAUUAUUCAGUUCUGAAAGUCUAUAAUUAAACUUUGAUGUCUCUUAACUUACGGGAAGAAUAUUUUGAUGGAUCUAUGAUUUUAAUUGAAUAAAUAUACUUUAUGGAAUGAAAUGAAAAGGAGGAAGCCUGUGAUUUUGAUGCAUCCACUUAUGAUGAAAUCUUCAAAAGAAUGACAGAGAAAAGCUUAUUCUUCUAAAAUAUUUUAAGGAGAAAAAGACUCUGAAUGGAGGCAAAAAGACAAUAGAAAUAGCUGAGGUAAAUAUGUAAGCACUGAAAUUUGAGCACAAAAUAGAACUGAGAAUAUUCUCUAGGAGAUAUUUUUUGUCUGAGUCUUCUAGUUAUGUUGACAUCUGUUGGAG
ensembl:lncRNA